GGUUGCGUGCUCGCCACCCUGUCAAGGUGGAGGCCGCGGGUUCAAAUCCCGUCAGGACCG
rfam:Streptomyces sp. CC53 NODE_246_length_8790_cov_141.069962, whole genome shotgun sequence.